rnacentral:rRNA from 1 species
ACAAUGGGCGCAAGCCUGAUGGAGCAACACCGCGUGAGUGAAGAAGGGUUUCGGCUCGUAAAGCUCUGUUGUUGGAGAAGAACGUGCGUGAGAGUAACUGUUCGCGCAGUGACGGUAUCCAACCAGAAAGUCACGGCUAACUACGUGCCAGCAGCCGCGGUAAUACGUAGGUGGCAAGCGUUAUCCGGAUUUAUUGGGCGUAAAGCGAGCGCAGGCGGUUGCUUAGGUCUGAUGUGAAAGCCUUCGGCUUAACCGAAGAAGUGCAUCGGAAACCGGGCAACUUGAGUGCAGAAGAGGACAGUGGAACUCCAUGUGUAGCGGUGGAAUGCGUAGAUAUAUGGAAGAACACCAGUGGCGAAGGCGGCUGUCUGGUCUGCAACUGACGCUGAGGCUCGAAAGCAUGGGUAGCGAACAGGAUUAGAUACCCUGGUAGUCCAUGCCGUAAACGAUGAGUGCUAGGUGUUGGA